rnacentral:rRNA from 1 species
AACGAACGUUAGCGGCGCGCUUAACACAUGCAAGUCGAACGAGAAAGGGCUUCGGCCCCGGUACAGUGGCGCACGGGUGAGUAACACGUGGGUAAUCUACCCUUGAGCGGGGGAUAACGUUCCGAAAGGAGCGCUAAUACCGCAUAAGACCACGCUCUCGAAAGGGAGCGAGGUAAAAGUAGGCCUCUGAAUUCACGCUUACACUCGAGGAUGAGCCCGCGGCCCAUCAUGGUAGUUGGUAGGGUAAUGGCCUACCAAGCCGAAGACGGGUAGCUGGUCUUAGAGGAUGAUCAGCCACACUGGAACUGAGACACGGUCCAGACUCCUACGGGAGGCAGCAGUGGGGAAUCUUGCGCAAUGGGCGAAAGCCUGACGCAGCGACGCCGCGUGGGUGAUGAAGGCCUUC